rnacentral:misc_RNA from 1 species
AUCGCCAUCUAGAAGGUAUAACCGAAUAUAUCGGAAGGUCAGACAUAAGAAUAUUGUUCCAUUCUUAAUUGACGAAAUCGAUAAACUUACAUAUAUGAGUUCGUAAUGUUAGUGUUGCAUUACAUAUAUAUUUAGUAAAAGUGAUAUUGUGAUGUAGCUACAGUUUUGAUAUCAUUUACGUACAUAACAUCAUCGAAGUAACGUCUCAUGUAACAUUAUUAGAAUUUUGUAUUACUUAUCUAUAAAAUAAUAUAAAGUAUUUUUAUUAGUGUUGUUCUAAACGCAUUCUUUACUGUUUCAAGAAUCAGAAUUCUUCACGGAUUCAUCAACUAUCUUAUUAUACAGAAAAUUUUAUAAAUAUUCUAUGUAAAGAAGUCUGAUGAAAUAAAAGAAUUAUUCAUACUAUAAGGAAAUGUAUUAAAGAAAUUUAUCCUAUUAUAGUAAUAGUCAAAUAAUAUCAAGUAAUAGUCAAGAAUACAAAUGUCUGUAUUAUCAAAUUCAACAAAACAAGUAUUACAAAAUACAUCAUCUCUUUCAAUGGAAAUACAAGAUGGUAAUACUAUAAUGUGUAAUAAGAAGAAGCAAGAAAAAAAUAUUGGGAGCAAUGGUAUAUCUAAUGCACAAAGAGUAUGGACAAGUUUAUUAUCAGGUGCUAUUGCAGGAGCAUUGGCAAAAACAACAAUAGCACCUUUAGAUCGCACAAAGAUAAACUUUCAAAUUUCAAACCAACCAUUUUCGGCAAAAGCAGCAAUUAAAUUUUUAAUAAAAACUCUUAGAACAGAAGGUUUACUAAGUUUGUGGCGUGGAAACAGUGCUACUAUGGUUAGAAUAGUUCCAUAUUCUGCUGUUCAAUUCACAGCUCAUGAGCAAUGGAAAAGAAUCUUAGGAGUAAAUGGAUCAGAAAGAGAAAAACCAGGAUUGAAUUUUCUUGCCGGUUCUUUAGCGGGUAUAACAUCGCAAGGUACAACUUAUCCGUUGGACUUGAUGAGAGCAAGAAUGGCUGUGACACAAAAGACUAAAUACAAAACCUUGCGACAAAUAUUUGUACGCAUUUACAUGGAAGAAGGAAUAGCGGCCUAUUACCGUGGAUUUACUGCAACGCUACUUGGUGUCAUUCCUUAUGCUGGUUGCAGUUUCUUCACCUAUGAUCUACUCAGGAAUUUAUUGACUGCAGGGUACCCGUGGGGCACAUCGGGGCUGUUUCCCGAUAUUGGGACAAUACUUACUUUAAUAGCGACGCUUGUCGAGACAAGUCCGAUGGCUGUGUUUUUCAAGUACGUGCUUCAUGUUCGAUGAUGGCUACGUGUCGAUGAACAGUGUACACGGUGGCUAUUCCUGGCUUCUCGACAUCACUGAUUUGCGGCGCCAUUGCCGGAAUGGUUGCUCAGACUAGCAGCUACCCUUUGGACAUUAUUCGGAGAAGGAUGCAGACUUCGGCGAUGCAUGGUCAACACUAUCACACAAUUAGAUCAACUAUUGCAAAAAUUUACAAAGAAGAAGGUAUAAUGGCCUUUUAUAAAGGAUUAAGUAUGAACUGGAUAAAAGGUCCAAUUGCUGUAGGAAUUAGUUUUGCAACACAUGAUACAAUUCGCGAUACAUUAAGAAAAAUUAUUAUUUGCCAAAAUACUUCAUU